CCAUAAUUCCAUAACAAUUCAACCUGCUACUAGCAUAAUCCUGCAGGUAUUAUCUGCUCAUCCCCCCUCCAAUUGAAAUGCUCUGAUUGCCUGAUCAGCAAUUCCAUAAAGGUGAAAGCAAUUGAAUAAGAUUUUUAUAUGACAACACACACCACGUGACCGACCGACUCGUAAUUCUUUUUUUUCCACAUUUUAUCUCCGCACAUAAAUUGUUUAGUUAUCCAUCAAAAACGUGUCCAUGAUUUCUAUCGGCCAAAAAGAGAACAAAUCUGUGGGCACGUGGCUGGGACCGAACACACUGCCGCUCACAUUAUCCGUUGGAAUUAACAUUCUAUGAGGCAGCAGUCCCCACAGAGCGGACCAUUAGGCCACCCUCGUAGCCAAUUUUAAUGACAGCCUGACAAUUGAAUUAAAUUAUCAAUCGAUGGGCCCUGGCAGGGCACAAGGGUCGCACAGCCAUACAAAAAGGACCUUCAGCACAAUCAAAUUGAUUGUAUUUACUUUGACACCAAAACCAAACACAACAUCCACAAUGGUCACACCUACUUCUAGGCACCCCCAACCCAGUCUGUUACUCCUCCCCGUUGAGCCUCUCACCCCUCUUUGGGGGUAGCAUUUUUUUGGGAACUUGGACAUGGGUUCGAGGUUUUUGUUUUUUGCCGCCUCGAUUUGACUUAAAUACGGUUUUUGGCUCGUUAAGUGUAACUAACAAACGCUGCCAUCCGCUGGCUGACUGGCUGGGAGACUCGUCGUGGACGCCUUUAUUGUUUGCUUUCCUUGUUUCUGCCAAGCCACUGCCUUUGCCUCUGCCUUCUUCCUUUUCUUGUUUUUGGUUGCUUCUUGUUGCUGCCUCAAGUUAAAAUGGCCUUCUUGGAACGAUGGAAGGCAUAUUGAUUGGGUCAUCGGUUCAGAGCAAAUGUUUUGGCUUCAAUGGCCGAAUCGAUGGAGGCUCAGUCACAGACUUUAAAUGUGUGUGUUUUUUUUAAGGAAAAUUGUGUUAAAAUAAGUGUCAAAAAUAUGGCAAAU
rnacentral:lncRNA from 1 species